UACGGAUAUGCAGCCUGUGCUCAUCAUUAAACCAGAGGUAGGAUUCCCAGCUGGUGGACAGAAAUGCUUAAAGCCACGUACUGACCUGCAGAGAAGAAGGAAUUGCUGUUCCUCCCUGGGCUGUGGAUGAUAGUGCAGGUGCUGUGGGAGCUGUUCUGUCAAGGUGGAGCCAGGUCAGCAAAUUCUUUAAGUCUUCUUAUGUCUAGAGAAGGAGGUUUGCAAUAUCUGUAUUAAUGUAAAAAGAGGAAGUGAGGAAGGCUUCCAGGCAAGUAUGU
rnacentral:lncRNA from 1 species